GAUGAAGAACGUAGCGAAAUGCGAUACGUAAUGUGAAUUGCAGAAUUCAGUGAAUCAUCGAAUCUUUGAACGCAUAUUGCGCUCUCUGGUAUUCCGGAGAGCAUGCUUGUUUGAGUAUCAGUAAACACCUCAACUCCCUUUCUUCUUGAAAUGGAGCUGGACUUGAGUGAUCCCAACGCUUUAUUCAUAAAGUGGCGGGUUACUUGAAAUGCAGGUGCAGCUGGACUUUUCUCUGAGCUAUAAGCAUAUCUAUUUAGUCUGCCUCAAAACAGAUCAUUACCUUUGCUGCAGCUAACAUAAAGGAGAUUAGUUCUUGUGCUGACUGAUGCAGGAUUCACAAAGACCGCUUCGGCUGUCUUUGUAAACUCGAUCUCAAAUCAAGUAAGACUACCCGCUGAACUUAAGCAUAUCAAUAAGCGGAGGA
rnacentral:misc_RNA from 1 species